CGGAGUGUAGUAUUAUUGUAUUCAUUACUUACGUUAAUGGGGUUUUUGAGCUUAUAGGCUUGUUCGCUUCGA
rnacentral:tRNA from 1 species